rnacentral:rRNA from 1 species
UACGGAGGGUGCAAGCGUUGUUCGGAAUUACUGGGCGUAAAGCGUGCGUAGGCGGUUUGAUAAGUUGGGAGUGAAAUCCCGGGGCUUAACCUCGGAAUUGCUCUCAAAACUGUCGAACUAGAGUAUGGUAGAGGAGAGUGGAAUUCUUAGUGUAGGGGUGAAAUCCGUAGAUAUUAAGAGGAACACCAGAGGCGAAGGCGACUCUCUGGGCCACUACUGACGCUAAGGCACGAAAGCGUGGGGAGCGAAC